rnacentral:rRNA from 1 species
UACGUAGGUGGCAAGCGUUGUUCGGAAUUACUGGGCGUAAAGCGCACGUAGGCGGAUCGAUCAGUCAGGGGUGAAAUCCCAGGGCUCAACCCUGGAACUGCCUUUGAUACUGUCGAUCUGGAGUAUGGAAGAGGUGAGUGGAAUUCCGAGUGUAGAGGUGAAAUUCGUAGAUAUUCGGAGGAACACCAGUGGCGAAGGCGGCUCACUGGUCCAUUACUGACGCUGAGGUGCGAAAGCGUGGGGAGCAAACAGG